rnacentral:rRNA from 1 species
CGUAGGAGGCAAGCGUUGUCCGGAUUUAUUGGGUUUAAAGGGUGCGUAGGCGGUUCCAUAAGUCAGUGGUGAAAUACGGCAGCUCAACUGUCGAGGUGCCAUUGAUACUGCGGAACUUGAGUACUGAUGAGGUAGGCGGAAUUGACGGUGUAGCGGUGAAAUGCUUAGAUAUCGUCAAGAACACCGAUAGCGAAGGCAGCUUACCAAGCAGUAACUGACGCUGAGGCACGAAAGUGCGGGGAUCAAACAGGAUUAGAUACCCUGGUAGUCCGCACAGUAAACGAUGAUUACUCGAUGUUGGCGAUACACAGCCAGCGUCUUAGCGAAAGCGAUAAGUAAUCCACCCGGGGAGUACGCCCGCAAGGGUG